GACGAACGCUGGCGGCGUGCUUAACACAUGCAAGUCGAACGGAAAGGCCCUCCUUUGGUGGUGUGCUCGAGUGGCGAACGGGUGUGUAACACGUGAGUAACCUCCCCUUGACUUUGGGAUAACUUCAGGAAACUGGGGCUAAUACCGGAUAGGAUCUCCUGCUGCAUGUUGGGGUGUGGAAAGUUUCGUCGGGUGGGGUUGGACUCGCGGCUUAUCAGCUUGUUGGUGGGGUAGUGCCUUACCAAGGCUUGAACGGUUAGCGGGCCUGAGAGGGUGACCGGGCACAUUGGGACUGAGAGACGGGGCAGAGUCCUCCGGGAGGCAGAAGUGGGGAAUAUUGUGCGAAGGGCGGAAGCCUGAUGCAGAAACGCCGCGCGCGAGAUAACGGCGUUCGGGUUGUAAAAAGCUCUCGCACGUGAGGCAGAGAGAGUGACGGUACUGGGUAAAGAAGCAACGGCUAACUACGUG
rnacentral:rRNA from 1 species